rnacentral:rRNA from 1 species
ACGCUCGACACCUACGGGAAGCAGCAGUGGGGAAUAUUGCACAAUGGGGGAAACCCUGAUGCAGCGACGCCGCGUGAGCGAAGAAGUAUUUCGGUAUGUAAAGCUCUAUCAGCAGGGAAGAAACUGACGGUACCUGACUAAGAAGCACCGGCUAAAUACGUACCAGCAGCCGCGGUAAUCUGAGCGGGCUGGCAAGGC